UGCUCUUCCGAUCUAUCAUGUCAUAUUUGAUUAAAGGGGACCCUAAAUCCAAUGACUGCUGUCCUUAUGUGAAGAGGACGGACACACAGAGACAUAAAGGGAGACUGUCACAUGAAGACAGAGCCAGAGUUGGGAGUGACAUGUCUAUGGACCAAG